rnacentral:rRNA from 1 species
CCGGUUGAUCCCGCCGGAGGUCAUUGCUAGUGGAGUCCGAUUUAGACAUGCUAGUUGCACGAGUUCAGACUCGUAGCAGAUAGCUCAGUAACACGUGGCCAAACUACCCUACAGAGUGCGAUAACCUCGGGAAACUGAGGCUAAUAGCGCAUACGGCUCUCACGCUGGAACUGCGGAGAGCUCGAAACGCUCCGGCGCUGUAGGAUGUGGCUGCGGCCGAUUAGGUAGACGGUGGGGUAACGGCCCACCGUGCCAGUAAUCGGUACGGGUUGUGAGAGCAAGAGCCCGGAGACGGUAUCUGAGACAAGAUACCGGGCCCUACGGGGCGCAGCAGGCGCGAAACCUUUACACUGCACGCCAGUGCGAUAAGGGGACUCCAGGUGCGAGGGCAUAUAGUCCUCGCUUUUGUACACCGUAAGGUGGUGUACGAAUAAGUGCUGGGCAAGACCGGUGCCAGCCGCCGCGGUAAUACCGGCAGCACGAGUGAUGACCGCUAUUAUUGGGCCUAAAGCGUCCGUAGCUGGCCAGUCAAGUCCGUCGGGAAAUCUCCCCGCCCAACGGGGAGGCGUCCGGUGGAAACUGUCUGGCUUGGGACCGGAAGACCAGAGGGGUACGUCCGGGGUAGGAGUGAAAUCCCGUAAUCCUGGACGGACCACCGGUGGCGAAAGCGCCUCUGGAAGACAGAUCCGACGGUGAGGGACGAAAGCUCGGGUCACGAACCGGAUUAGAUACCCGGGUAGUCCGAGCUGUAAACGAUGUCUGCUAGGUGUGACACAGGCUACGAGCCUGUGUUGUGCCGUAGGGAAGCCGUGAAGCAGACCGCCUGGGAAGUACGUCCGCAAGGAUGAAACUUAAAGGAAUUGGCGGGGGAGCACUACAACCGGAGGAGCCUGCGGUUUAAUUGGAUUCAACGCCGGG